rnacentral:lncRNA from 1 species
CCUUGAAGUAAAUCUAUCACAUGAAUUUAUUUAGAUCACAGCCGUGUCCUCUUUGAUCUGAGCCAGUGAUCGUGGCGAAAGCGACCCAACCCGACCCUUCAAGCCCGAGGGAAGGAUGCUGCUGGUUACUUUCCAAAAGCUGUCUUCCUGUUUGUGGUUAAUUGGCCCAGAGGAGAAGCUGGAGACAAUGACAGUUCCGUGUGUAGACCCGAGAGAUACGGUCAUCGGCACUUCGAUUUGUAAGUUAUUAAGAUGGAGGAGGAGGUUGCAGAGAGCCUGA